rnacentral:rRNA from 1 species
UUAAAUUGAAGAGUUUGAUCAUGGCUCAGAUUGAACGCUGGCGGCAGGCCUAACACAUGCAAGUCGAACGGUAACAGGAAGCAGCUUGCUGUUUCGCUGACGAGUGGCGGACGGGUGAGUAAUGUCUGGGAAACUGCCUGAUGGAGGGGGAUAACUACUGGAAACGGUAGCUAAUACCGCAUAACGUCGCAAGACCAAAGAGGGGGACCUUCGGGCCUCUUGCCAUCGGAUGUGCCCAGAUGGGAUUAGCUAGUAGGUGGGGUAACGGCUCACCUAGGCGACGAUCCCUAGCUGGUCUGAGAGGAUGACCAGCCACACUGGAACUGAGACACGGUCCAGACUCCUACGGGAGGCAGCAGUGGGGAAUAUUGCACAAUGGGCGCAAGCCUGAUGCAGCCAUGCCGCGUGUAUGAAGAAGGCCUUCGGGUUGUAAAGUACUUUCAGCGGGGAGGAAGGGAGUAAAGUUAAUACCUUUGCUCAUUGACGUUACCCGCAGAAGAAGCACCGGCUAACUCCGUGCCAGCAGCCGCGGUAAUACGGAGGGUGCAAGCGUUAAUCGGAAUUACUGGGCGUAAAGCGCACGCAGGCGGUUUGUUAAGUCAGAUGUGAAAUCCCCGGGCUCAACCUGGGAACUGCAUCUGAUACUGGCAAGCUUGAGUCUCGUAGAGGGGGUAGAAUUCCAGGUGUAGCGGUGAAAUGCGUAGAGAUCUGGAGGAAUACCGGUGGCGAAGGCGGCCCCCUGGACGAAGACUGACGCUCAGGUGCGAAAGCGUGGGGAGCAAACAGGAUUAGAUACCCUGGUAGUCCACGCCGUAAACGAUGUCGACUUGGAGGUUGUGCCCUUGAGGCGUGGCUUCCGGAGCUAACGCGUUAAGUCGACCGCCUGGGGAGUACGGCCGCAAGGUUAAAACUCAAAUGAAUUGACGGGGGCCCGCACAAGCGGUGGAGCAUGUGGUUUAAUUCGAUGCAACGCGAAGAACCUUACCUGGUCUUGACAUCCACGGAAGUUUUCAGAGAUGAGAAUGUGCCUUCGGGAACCGUGAGACAGGUGCUGCAUGGCUGUCGUCAGCUCGUGUUGUGAAAUGUUGGGUUAAGUCCCGCAACGAGCGCAACCCUUAUCCUUUGUUGCCAGCGGUCCGGCCGGGAACUCAAAGGAGACUGCCAGUGAUAAACUGGAGGAAGGUGGGGAUGACGUCAAGUCAUCAUGGCCCUUACGACCAGGGCUACACACGUGCUACAAUGGCGCAUACAAAGAGAAGCGACCUCGCGAGAGCAAGCGGACCUCAUAAAGUGCGUCGUAGUCCGGAUUGGAGUCUGCAACUCGACUCCAUGAAGUCGGAAUCGCUAGUAAUCGUGGAUCAGAAUGCCACGGUGAAUACGUUCCCGGGCCUUGUACACACCGCCCGUCACACCAUGGGAGUGGGUUGCAAAAGAAGUAGGUAGCUUAACCUUCGGGAGGGCGCUUACCACUUUGUGAUUCAUGACUGGGGUGAAGUCGUAACAAGGUAACCGUAGGGGAACCUGCGGUUGGAUCACCUCCUUACCUUAAAGAAGC